rnacentral:rRNA from 1 species
GUGUCAGCAGCCGCGGUAAUACGGAGGGUGCAAACGUUGCUCGGAAUCAUUGGGCGUAAAGCGCACGUAGGCGGCUUCUUAAGUCGGGUGUGAAAGCCCUCGGCUCAACCGAGGAAGUGCAUUCGAAACUGAGGGGCUUGAAUACUGGAGAGGAUGGCGGAAUUCCCGGUGUAGAGGUGAAAUUCGUAGAUAUCGGGAGGAACACCAGCGGCGAAGGCGGCCAUCUGGACAGAUAUUGACGCUGAGGUGCGAAAGCGUGGGGAGCAAACAGGAUUAGAUACCCCCGUAGUCC